AACCUUACCUACCCUUGACAUGGAUGGAAUCCCGAAGAGAUUUGGGAGUGCUCGAAAGAGAACCAUCACACAGGUGCUGCAUGGCUGUCGUCAGCUCGUGUCGUGAGAUGUUGGGUUAAGUCCCGCAACGAGCGCAACCCUUGUCAUUAGUUGCUACGAAAGGGCACUCUAAUGAGACUGCCGGUGACAAACCGGAGGAAGGUGGGGAUGACGUCAAGUCCUCAUGGCCCUUAUGGGUAGGGCUUCACACGUCAUACAAUGGUACAUACAGAGGGCCGCCAACCCGCGAGGGGGAGCUAAUCCCAGAAAGUGUUUCUUAGUCCGGAUUGGAGUCUGCAACUCGACUCCAUGAAGUUGGAAUCGCUAGUAAUCGCGGAUCAGCAU
rnacentral:rRNA from 1 species